GCCAGGUGUGGUGGUGUACACCUGUAAUCCCAGCAGCUCAGGAUGCUGAAGCAGGAGAAUGAAGAGUUCAAAGCCAGCCUCAGCAAUUUAGUGAGGCUUUAAGCAACUUAAUAAGACUCUGUCUCGA
rnacentral:sRNA from 1 species